rnacentral:rRNA from 1 species
UGGGGAAUAUUGCGCAAUGGGCGAAAGCCUGACGCAGCGACGCCGCGUGAGGGAUGACGGCCUUCGGGUUGUAAACCUCUUUCAGCAGGGACGAAGCGCAAGUGACGGUACCUGCAGAAGAAGCACCGGCUAACUACGUGCCAGCAGCCGCGGUAAUACGUAGGGUGCGAGCGUUGUCCGGAAUUAUUGGGCGUAAAGAGCUCGUAGGCGGUUUGUCGCGUCGACUGUGAAAACCUACAGCUUAACUGUGGGCUUGCAGUCGAUACGGGCAGACUUGAGUUCGGUAGGGGAGACUGGAAUUCCUGGUGUAGCGGUGAAAUGCGCAGAUAUCAGGAGGAACACCGGUGGCGAAGGCGGGUCUCUGGGCCGAUACUGACGCUGAGGAGCGAAAGCGUGGGGAGCGAACAG